rnacentral:misc_RNA from 1 species
CCGAGUGCGGGCCCUCUGGGCCCAACCUCCCACCCGUGUUUCGUUAUACUUUGUUGCUUCGGCGGGCCCGCCAUCCCGGCCGCCGGGGGGCUUUGACGCCCCCGGGCCCGCGCCCGCCGAAGACACCCCCGAACGCUGCCUGAAUGUUGCAGUCUGAGUGAUCAUGAUAAAUCGUUA